CGGGGUGCAGCAGGCGCGAAAACUUUGCAAUACACGAAAGUGUGACAGGGCUAUCCCGAGUGCCAUCCGCUGAGGAAGGCUUUUACCCAGUCUAGAACGCUGGGGGAAUAAGGAGAGGGCAAGUCUGGUGUCAGCCGCCGCGGUAAUACCAGCUCUCCGAGUGGUGUGGAUGUUUAUUGGGCCUAAAGCAUCCGUAGCUGGCUAAGUUAGUCCCUUGUUAAAUCCACCGAAUUAAUCGUUGGAUUGCGGGGGAUACUGCUUGGCUAGGGGACGAGAGAGGCAGACGGUAUUUCCGGGGUAGGGGUGAAAUCCUAUAAUCCCGGGAAGACCACCAGUGGCGAAGGCUGUCUGCUAGAACGCGCCCGACGGUGAGGGAUGAAAGCUGGGGGAGCGAACCGGAUUAGAUACCCGGGUAGUCCCAGCUGUAAACGAUGCAGGCUAGGUGUUUGGACGGCCACGUGCCGUUCUAGUGCCGCAGGGAAGCUGUUAAGCCUGCCGCCUGGGGAGUACGAUCGCAAGAUUGAAACUUAAAGGAAUUGGCGGGGGAGCA
rnacentral:rRNA from 1 species